UUCUUUUUCUUACUCAAGUCCAGCAUCUCUUCCUCGUCAUCAGGAGUAGCAGUAGGUUCUGGAGCAGCGACAGCUUCAUCUUGAGCAGUACUAGGUACAUCCCAAUCUUGUGCAGCAACUUCCGGAUAAUCGUCGUCGAGAAUCUUCUUCUUGUCCUUCUUCUUCGGUUUUUUCUUCUUUGCCGCUGUCAAGUCUAGCAUCUCCUCUUCUUCGUCCGCCAGCGAGGGAAUGUCCGGGGCAGUAGGAGCAACAGCAGGCUCUGGAGCAGCGACAGCUCUCGAAGAAUCAUCUUGAGCAGUACUAGGUACAUCCCAAUCUUGUGCAGCAACUUCCGGAUAAUCGUCGUCGAGAAUCUUCUUCUUGUCCUUCUUCUUCGCUUUCUUCUUCUUCGCCGCUGUCAAGUCUAGCAUCUCCUCUUCUUCGUCCACCAGCGAGGGAAUGUCCGGGGCAGUAGAAGCAGGAGAAGGAGCAAGAGCAUCCUCCUCCAAAAUCUUGUCUUUCUUCUUCUUCGGCUUCUUCUUCUUCAUGCCUGAUAAAUCCAGCUUCUCUUCUUCUUCCUCCUCGUCAUCUCUAUCUAAAGCUAAUGCGGGAGCUACUAAAUCAUCCUUCUUCUUGUUUCUCUUGCUCUUGCUCAAAUCCAUCUCCAUUACCAAAUCCUCGUCGUUGCCGGCAGCUGCCACAACCGAGGCUCCCGUCGUCGAUCCAGCAACAGCCUCACCAUCACCGUUCAACUCCUCGUUCCAAUAAUCGUCCAGCGAUGGCGCGACCUUCUUCCCCUUCUUUCCCAUCGCGCGUGCGCGAUGCCCUAAUUUCCUAAACCCUAGCCCUAAACACUAAAGCCGACAGCGAGUAAAGGGCAAAAGCUCUCAUUUCUUCUUUUUUAACUUCGUUUUUACCACAUAGAAUGUAAGCCCGGAGAAAUAAACAAACCGCAAGAGAUUUGGUGUUGUUGAUUCGGGAGGCUCGUCACUGGCCAUCCAUCUCGACUAGCCCUUCUGCCAAGAACAAAAAUUCUCUUUUUUAAGAACUAUAGAAGAUCAAACAAAGCCUUUGGAACUCGAGGAACACUUACUCUCGAGCUUUGCGCUCGUUGUAGUCGAGUAUCUGGGAACGGAGGACGUGAUUCGGCCGAAGAGUUCUAUCCACAUUGUCUGGAGGAGGAGCUGGAGGCAGCUCGAUUCCAGUGAUCGGACUAGUUUUGUGCUCCCUGCUCAAACAAAAAAAAACCACUUUGGUUAAAGCUCGCGACCCGAAACAAAAGAACUUACUUCAGCCAUGCUUUGAUCGUCGAUCGAUCAUACGAGUGCCCGUCAGCAGUGGUCACCGGAUCCACCAUAAUAUCACGAGUUAUGCAAUCCAAAAACUCCGGAGGAACGUUGUCCACCUCGUAAUCGUACUGCGGUAGCCAGCUGCUGGUGUCGAGCGAGGGUGACAGGCAUAUAUCCUCUGGAAGCUGGAUGCAAGGAUCUCGCACGGUUUUCUGGGAGAACGGGCCAGGCCAGGCAAAGUCACUCGACACUGAACGUGAGACUGGCGAGAGCAGUGUCGGGGACAUGACUGAAUAAGUAGCAUCGAUGCUAGUCGGAGGUGGUAAGACGGUGGUCGAUGGGAAGAACGAGGAGAAGAGGGAGGUGGAAGACGCGACUGGUUCGCUAGUCAGUGUGUUAUGCUGUGGAGCAGAGAUGGGAGGAAGUACUGGAGCGGUACCUGGGAAGUAAAUGGGAUCGGUGGACACUGGAGUCGAGCCGCUAGCUUCUUGACAGGGAGGGGCUGCUGUUAUUUCGGGUGAUAGAGGUUGCGGCUUCGAACUUGUGGUUGUAGCAGCAGCAGCACUCUUUGAGAAGAAUGAGCCACCAUUUGCCAGUGGUUUUGGAAAAGCCUGUAAGUUAAAGUUAGCAACAUCCACUGGAGAAAGAUAAGAAAGCACCUCCGAGGAAGCGCUGCAGGCUUCCACUUUGGUGUUGGCUGCUCCACACAAGGCUUUGGACCAGCUCAUCGAAGUCCCGGGGGGCGCCACCUCCUUAGGCGGAGCCGCACUAGUCGACUUCGCUGGCGCGUUCGUCCUAAUCUUUGUCGAACUUAAGUUCUGGUGCUUUCCGAGAGGGGUUCCACCAGAGCUGGAGCUUGCUCUAGAGUUCCUAUAGUCGCUGCAGUAGCUGUAACCCCUCCUCCUGCCAAAAUAUCCCACCUUUUCAAUCCUAGUCCGUGCCUCUUCUGUACUACUACCAGGACUACUACCACCAACACUCUUGUCGCUGGCCAACUCCUUCUCCUUGGGCGACGCCUUAGUUUUCUCCUGCCUCUUCUUCUCAGCCUCUCUAUCCCUCCUCAACUCGCGUUCCCUCUCGGCAGCGGCUUCUCUCUUACUCGCAUUCUCGGCCUCAAGUAGCUCAGCACGAAGUUUGCUCCUCUCGUCUACGAGUCUCUUAAACUCCUCCCUGUCCCUCCUUUCCUCCUCCUCCUUCUUCUCCCUCUCUAGUCUCGCUAGACGCUUCUCCUCCGCCUUCCUCCUCGCCCUUCCUCUCUUCUCCUCCGUCUCGUCUAUCUCCUUCGCGUUCUGCUGUCGACCCUGCGAGCCAUCCCUGGAGCCAUCCUGCCGGCAAAACUUCUUCCACAACCAGGCCAAAAGCUUCCCUGCCAGCUCCACCCACCUAUGCACCAGAUGGAAAAACCUCUGCUUGUCCAGCUCCUCCCAGAGCGAUCUCCAACACGUCGAGUGGUCGAUCAACUUUAAGUCCCUGGGCCGAGGAUCCCCGGGGACGUGUAGCUCGGGCUUCUUCGAGGCGUGGCCACAGUUGGUGCACAUAUACUUGCCACUCGCCUGUGGAGUCUGGUCGCGGUAAGGACUGUGGCAAUUCCGGCAGUGCUUGGUCGCCUCCUUUCGCCACCUUGCGGCCUUCUGUGCCUCUAUACGCUGCCUCUCGCGGAGAAGGAUCGCUCUCCUAUCCCGCCACUGCGAGAGAUUGGGGACGACGAACUCGUACCAAAAGAGGCUGCUCAGAAGCACUCCCACGCAUGCCAGCCUCGUGGACGUGAUCUCGAAGCGGUAGCCGGGUGGCAGGAACUGCGAGAAGGCCCAAACGAUGACGAAAGGGAUGAUCAACCAUGGUAGCAUGGCGACGAUGCGUCGCGAAAACUUUGCUCCAGCGCACAGUAUGCACAUUCUUCAGCCCAAUGCGACCUGCUGAAGCCCUUCUCUAUGCUCUAAUCUUUCUUUUCCAGCUACAACCUGCUAUAGCAACCAAAGAACCAAUCAGCCGAUCUGGCAAAGAGAAGAGGCGCACAAAAAGAAAUUGAGAAGAAAAGAAGCAAACUUGCAAGGGAGGCAAUGCCGGUUCAAGCAGUUCAACACAGUAGCAAAUCUUGGAGGGCGCCCAUGGAAUCCUUACCCUAAUCCCUGGCGCUAUUGCUGCUGCUGAUGCUACCGCGCCCUGGAAUCGACACCGGCAUUUCCUAUGGCAGCCCCAAGAGGGCCAAAUCCUCGCCCUCGUCUAGCGCGCGCCGGAGGAAACGCCCAUCGCCAAGCUCCAAUGCCGCGGCGCCUUCAUUAGGUCUUGGUCGUGGACAACAAGCAUCAUUUCUCCCCAAAGCCGAAAAAAAAAAACUUGUUAAAAUGGACGGCUGCCAUGGCUGACACGUGUAUGCCAUCAGGCCGUUAAAAUCAAAUAGGGGUAAUUUUCCUCUGUUUCUAGGGCAAAAAGAGUGAAACGAGGAGGAGCUACCGAUGGGUCGCCCGCCUCAAGCCGCCGGCGUGCCGGUGUUUCGAUUUCUUCCACAGGAGGUAUGGAUCGAUGGAAAGGAUUCCUGCGCUGCAUUCUAUGGCGUGUGAAUUCUUUGUAGGUCGCUCAAAUGGAGAGGGCGCUGGAAGCUAACAACAACAUAGCGUUGCCAAGGCCGGAAUGUGACGACCUCGCGGAGGCUUUCACGUACGUAUUUCCUCAAAGUUUGACAUCGUUUUGCCUUCACUGAAUUCUUCGUUCUUUUCUUUCGUUUUUUCUCUCAGCAAUACUCCAGAACGGGCUGGGCAACUUCCAAUAACAGGGAAACAGGUUCGUCCGGCUAGACGCUUUUCCUGUUUCUCUUCUCGUGUAUACAAAUAGUCCUGAAAGUUUGGCCUCUUCUGAUAAUUCUCCUCACCUUAUUUGUGCUUCUUUUCCAGGUCUUGAAUUGGUUCCAGAACAGGAGGCACUCGCAAAAGGCGAAGAAAAUCCUCCAAAUGCAGCAGCAACAGCAGCACCAAGACAGCGGUAGAGGCUUUACUCCCUCGCCUUUGGCGAACGCCGCAAGUCCCAUGCAAUACAUGUACGCUCCGCCGCCAGGUUUGUUUCAAGUUCUCUUCCAUCCCGCUUCUUACACGUCGGGAUCUCACAGAAGUCGAGAAAGAGAUGGACUUCGAAGCCAAAUCUUCUCGUGACGGUGCCUGGUAAGAAUGUAUGAGUUUAUAAACUCCGUUACUAAGACCUCUUCCAGGUAUGAUGUAUCAUUGUUUCUGGCACAUCGUAUAGAAGCCUCUGAGCACGUAAGGCAGAAAGUUUUACUCUUUUGCUCCACAUUUUGUCUGUACUGAUUGAUCCAACUUCUCAGGAGGUCCGUGUUCGUUUUGUUGGGUUUGGAUCCGAGGAAGACGAAUGGGUGGACGUGAAGACAUCAGUCCGGCAGCGCUCUAUGCCGUGUGACGUUGUGGAGUGCAUGGUUGUCCUUCCGGGAGAUCUCAUCUUAUGCUUCCAGGUAGAGGAAAUGCAAAAACUUUGUUUUCUUUGUUAACUUCUUCGUUUCUUAGCAGGAGGGAAACGAGCAAGCCUUGUACUACGAUGCCACGGUUCUGGACAUCCAGAGACGGAGGCACGACUUAAGAGGCUGCCGGUGUCGAUUUUGGGUCCGCUAUGAUCACGAUCAAUCAGAGGUAACAUCAAUCUAAGCUCUCAUUUACAAUCAUUGUAUUUUUCUUUUCUUUUUUUCUCGCAGGAAGUUGUGCCACUUAAAAAGAUUUGCAGGCGGCCAGAGACGGAUUUACGAAUCCCCAGGAACAAACAGCACUAAAGAAGCGUGUGAAUAUUUUUGUACGGAUGACAAUGAGAUUAGGGUUCUUGGGUUUUACCUCCUUUUUCCUCUUUUUUCCCAAAUGACGAGAUUAGGGUUCUUUGAUGUUUCUCCGUCGCCCAGGCUGGGCCGAGGAGUUUGCUGCUGCGUCGGCAUCCACCUCCUCGCCGCAGCAAUCGGCGUGCAAUGUGGUGGCGGAGCUGGUGGAAUCGCUGGUGGCGCAGCGGCAGCGGCGCGAGGUUGCGCUGCGGCUGCGCGAGGCGCUGCGUGAUGUGAGGGCCAAUUUCUCCUUCGCCAGGGUCAAGGGCCUUCGCCGUCUGCUCGCAUUCCUGGUGCUCGCCGCUGCGUCCGAGAGGGGUGUGGAGCUCUUCCGGGAGAGCCAGAGCUAUCAAGAACUCCAAGGUGAGAAUGUGUUUGGAGUAAAUUCGAUGGCUCUGGUUGGUGGAUGCUAUGAAUUUCUUUCCUUUCCUAGAAUCGUUGUUUGCUUGCGUGGAUCAACUUUCUCAUGAGCGAAGGUUCUAAGAUUCUUUUGUGAUCUUUGGUGUAGUGAUACCGGCGUUGUUCAAGCACACAUUGGCACAGCAAAAAUCACCAGCGAGCGCGCCACCGGUGUUUAACUCCUCGGAAGAAGCGGCAGAAGUCUCGAAUCCUCCCACCCCUGCGGAGAUCGUCCUCGCACUUCGCGUUCUUGAGGGAUGCUGCCUCGUCGACAACUCGAGCAAAGCGGCCGCGGCUCACCACAUGGCCGUCAAGGUGAGCGAUGAAAAACACCAACUUUACCUGUUAAGAAGAGCUCCUUUUCUUGUUCCAGGAGCUGCUUGAUCUGCUAUCAGCGACUGGGAUCCCCGAGCGCACGGCUUGCCUGGACGCGCUCUUGGCACUGUUGCUGGAUUCUCCUGCCAAUCAAAAAGUACGUUCUUCUCUAAGAUUGGCACGCAAACAAUCUCUUGUGUCGCAGGAAUUCGAGUACUACCGAGGUGUUUCAAAGAUCUGCGACUCGCUAAAGAAUCGCCAUGUCGACGUCGCACUCAGGUGAUCCAAAAGCUUCCUCUCCUUCCUAAAACGCAACAAUUUCUUGGCUGUUCCAGGACGAAAUGCGCCGAGUUCUUGCUGCUGCUCGUGGGAGACAUACUCCCCAAGACGGAGGCGCUGCAAGAUCAACUCAAGGAGUGCAUGGGCACCGAAUGCUGCGUCAUUCUCUGGGACGUUUACUCCAACCUCGAGCCUGCCUUUGCCGAUCCAGAGAGGAAAAAGAGGUCGCUCAAAUCGCUAGCGGAGAAGAUGCUAAGCCUUGUAGAUAGCUAAGCAUCGAUGCUCAAGCCAUUCGUGUAAAAUUGUGCGUAACACCCGAGGAGUCUGGGCUGGGAAACAACGAUCAAAUCUUUUGUCAGGUUUUAAAAAAACAUAAAAAUAAAAACGAAUUAGUAAAAUCUAGAAAACGUUUUUAUAAACCUUAUUGGGUUGGAGUAUAACUCAUACUUCGAAUGCAUACUCAAUUAAUCUCUACACUAUUUAAAUAAAAGGGCAAGUGUAAAGCUUGCCCUAGACAGAUUUAGCUAUCUCAAGAACCCUAAAAACAGGGGAGAGGAGCGAUGGAGAACCUGGCGGCGUACGCGGUGAUGGCAUCGGCGUCGGUGGGGCUCUGCAAAGGUGAGUCGCUCGCCCACAUUUGGAUUGCCUUAGCGCCUACAUUUCUUGGAUCCAGAGCUCUUGUUUCCUUACGAGGACGAUCAAGCGCCCCUGGGCAGCGAUUCGAGCUCCUUCCUCCAUAGCCGGCUGGCGGCGCUGCGGCGGCAGGAGGACGAGGACGACGACAUGACGGUCGCGCUGCUGUCGACAAUGUGGCAGGACGAGAUCGUUGCCUGCCUCGCCGCUGACAACAACAGCAGCGGCCAGGACCACGAUCUCCCUCCCGAGGAGGAGAAGAUCCCCGAGAGGUCAUCGCCAUCGCCUCCUCCAUCCUCGUCUCGCCUCAAGCGCUCCAGGCAGCAAUCUUUGGCGCCUCGCGCUCCUUACGAGGACGAAUUUGGGCUGCGAUUGAAUCUGGAUAGCGGCAGCUAUGCGCAGCAGCAGUUUGAGAUCUAUCCGGGAUCCACGAGCGAUCAUCAUCCCCGGCGCGUCCAUCACUUCGACACCCACCACGAGGAUCAUCCUCACGCUCUUCGCCAUCGCCACCACCAGAGCUUGUCCGGCGACCUGGCCGAGCAUCCUUUCUUGACGCCACACCAUUUCCCUGGCGCUCCGUCGCGGGAUUGGCCCCAGAGCUCGCAAGACUAGCAAGCUCGCCAACUUUUUUCCACUGUUCCCCCAUAUACUUGAGAUCACAGUCUCAUCUUGGAAGUAAUCUGGCCAUCUUCUCAUCUUUGCAAAGAAAUAGAGGACUUCUUCCAAGUAAACGAAAGAGAGUCUGGCAUCGAUCUGACCACGGGUCUCUAGUAACGCGAAACAAAAGAUAUAAAACGCACAGCGCACCUUUGACUUGGAGCAAAAGCUCGAGAACCAAAUAUUCCUGGGCGAUUGACAAUGCGAGCCGGGCAAACCCAAAGUAGUUUAGUCCCCCCUCGCAUUGCUUGCAUCACCCAAGGGGUCACUUCGCAGCGAUAGAUUUUGCUAGAAGAUGGAUGUGGCACACUUAUUAGAAAAGCCCAAAGUACGCAUGCCUUCGCGCAAAGCUCUAGCAAGCGUUAAAAGAUAAUUGCUCACUCACCCACCCCUUACACGCAUGCCAAGCGAAUACGUCCACCUCCUCGAAAGCCGAGGAGAGUCGCUUAGAAUAAUCACUGGGGGGGGGAACCAGAGCAUCUCCGCCUGCGAAUGCAAACACAAAGGUAGAGUUAGAAGCCAUUGCUUUUUUCCUUUUGUUUUUCUAAGGCUUUUUUGUUCUCUCUAGAAGGAGCCAGCAAGGAGCAGUCACCCAUGCAAGCUUUGUUUCCAAGCACUUAUUAUGAGACCAAAAGGUCGGAGGAGAGAAUAUAGAACGCCAGGCAAAGCGGUACGAUGAUUUGGCAUAUCAGAACCUGUAUGCCUGGAAUGAUAGCAGAAAUCUAAGGUGCCAUACCUUGACAAGGAGGAGGGAGUACUUCCACUCCUGGAGGAACAGGGAAGGCCCACGGAUCUGAAAACCAAAUUUGACAGCCGAACGAGACGACGAGCAGGAUCAGGCAGGCGAGCUACAAGACAGAGGCCGAAUAAACAACGAGGAAGAAAAGAGCAUAUAUAUAUAUCAUGAAAAACUCACCCCGAGCGAGGAGAUAUGUUUUCUUUUCGUCGUCUCUUUUUCCCCUUUUUUUCUCUUUCGGGUUGAGUUGAGCACUUUAGUGGCCAUAAGUAGCUGAGUUGUGUGCACUGUGCAGGCCAAAAGAUUUUAUCAGUCGGUGCUCUCCGCUGUAUCUGGCUGGCUUGCCUCCUGGUAACGAGUGCUGCUUCUUCCAGUGACAAAGGCCAUAAUUCCUCAGGUGCUAUUGAAUUCCGAUUCCAGGACGCUUGGCUUUGUCCACCCUGGGACGAAACAUAUCAUGUUUGGUGUUGCGUGCUGCGCUGCAAUCGAUCGAAGAAAGAUGCAGAGCUACUUACUGUAAGCGUCUCUCCAGUUAGCGUUCACGAACGAGCAAGACAGCUUACCUCGCAAACAAAAACUAAGUACCAACGCUGGUUUAAUAAAACUGAGCAAACCUCUGUGUGCGUGUCUGCUGCUCCCGUAACAGCUUCGCCUACACAUAUUUUAAUCCCGCGAGCCACUGCUUGCACUUCUGUGCGCUAUUAAAUUACGUCCCAUGCGCUGUGUGCCGUGAUGCCUUACAAAAAGAAAGCUCAACAAGAGAAUGCGAUUAGAAAACAGAGCCCCGCUUACCUGGUCCAUGGAUUGGAUCGUCGCACAGCUCGAAUGAAGCGCAAGUUAGACGCGCGCACACAAGGGAAAACAAAAAAAAAAAAAAACAACCAUGACAAUUACGAGCAGCAAAGGAAAAAAGAGAGGAUGUAUUGAGAUCUCACUCACCAGCUAGAGAGAGAGAGAGAGUGUGUCUUUUCAGCCUGGACCGCGCUUUCAAUCCACAGUGGAGCUCCCACUCUUUUUCUUCUUUUUGCUCUGAUAUUUGCAUUACUGCUCUCGCUCGUCGGGACGGGACGACAAGACAAUAUAUGUGUGUGUGCGCAAGUCGCACCUCCUUGACCUCUGCCUUGUUAUUCCCCUCCAUUUUGUUUUCCAGAAGUUGCUGCUCGUCUUGACUUGUUCGAUCCUGCUCCCUACCUCGUUCUUCGCAUAUCAUGUCAAGAUGGAACGUCCUCUCCUCGUCUUCGCCAUCGUCGUCUUGUUCGCAUCUCACCUCCCGGCGAUCCAACUUCGUCUCCGGGUCUGUCGCUGCAUCACAUGUCUUGACAGCCAGCACGCAAUUCCGAGCAUGAUCAAGCCAGCACCACCCCUCCAUGUCACCACCACUGUUCCCUGCUAAAACUCGUGCUUCUUCUUCCCCCAGUUUCUGCUCUCUCUCUCUCUCUCUCUCUCUCUCUCUCUCUCUCUCCUGAAAGAGCCACCAGCAGCAGUGAGUGAAUGAGUGGCGGCCGAGCACGAGAAGGAUCUUUGUGAUGAGCCGCCUUGUGCUGCUCCUGCUCGUGAUAGCGCUGCUUGUGCUUGUCCAGGUGAAAGGCGCACCCGAGAGUGAAUUAGUGUCGAGAUUGCCCGGGCAGCCGCACGUUUCGUUUAAGCAGUACGCCGGUUACGUGACUGUUGACAAGAACGCCGGCCGUGCCUUGUUCUACUACUUCGCAGAGGCCGAAACGAGAGCCAGCUCGCAGCCUUUGACCCUCUGGCUAAAUGGAGGUAACCAUGCCUGUCUAGAGUUUCUUCUGCAUCGUUUCUGGAACAAAAAAGAAAGCAAAACAGCAUUGUCUUGUCUCAAGUCUCGACUGAGAGAAGUUUAACUUGGUUCUUACUCGAUCGGCAGGUCCUGGUUGUUCCUCGAUUGGUGGAGGAGCAUUUACGGAGCUUGGACCCUUCUAUCCCAAUGCUUCUGGACAAGGGCUGUUAGUAAAUCGACGAGCGUGGAACAAAGGUGCAAACCUGCAUUUUCGAUCGGUGCUUUAACCCCUCUUUCUUCGAUCCAGUGUCCAAUAUGCUCUUCCUCGAAGCGCCUGCUGGAGUCGGCUGGUCCUAUUCCAACAAAAGUUCCGACUAUGAGCAAGUCACGGACAGGAUAACAGGUAACUAGAGCUACUUAGAACAUCAGAAGCUUACCUCGUGGUUGCAGCCGUGGACACGCUAAAUUUUCUUCUCGGUUGGAUGGACAAGUUUCCCGAGUACCAGACGAGAGAUUUCUACAUCACCGGCGAGAGCUACGCAGGUCCAAAGCUUUCGCCCAUUUCCGACGAGCGUUCUUACAAGAGCUCUCAGUUUCCUGGUUGAUACAGGGCACUACGUUCCUCAGCUGGCCGAGUUGAUCAUCAAGCACAGCCAAGUCCCCGGAAACUACGCUUUCAGAUUGAAAGGAGUGGCCGUAAGUUAGUGAAUCUAGAUAGGUACGAGCUGACCUUGACGGUUGAGUCGACUGGAGCAGAUUGGCAAUCCGCUCCUCAACUUGGCCGUGGAUACAUCAGCGAUGUACGAGUACUUUUGGUCACACGGGCUCAUCUCGGACGAAACAUUCCAGGCGCUUUCCAACUCCUGCAAAUUCGAAGACUAUGAGCUCGGGCUCGCGGACCACAACGUUUCCAACGCAUGCAACGACGGCAUCCUCCAGUCCAACACUGAAGUUGGAAGAUUCAUCAACAAUUACGACGUCAUACUCGACGUCUGCCUUCCAUCAAUCUUCUUGCAGGAAGUGAGGCUCAAGCAACAGGUAAAAGCCUCUCUGUUCCUUCUAAAACGAUGAAAGAACCGUGGAAACAGAUGGCUCAGAAAAGCUAUGGAGUGGACAUAUGCAUCGACAAGGAGAGGGACGUCUACUUCAACCUUCCAGAGGUGCAAAGAGAACUCCACGCGAACACAACUGGACUUCCAUACUCGUGGAGUAUGUGCACAGGGUAAUCAAAAGAACAACGCACCAAAGUUUCGAAACUUAACGAAAAGACUUUUGCCAUUUCCCGUGAAACAGGCCUGUGGACUACGCAAUGCAAGACGGAAGCACAAACAUGGUACCUCUUCUUGGAGACAUCCUCAAAGCGGGACUCCGCGUUUGGAUCUUCAGGUACGUAAGUGGAGCUAAAAAAGUUCUUCCCAUUCAGAAAACGAAAGAGUUUGAAGCUUACCGCGUGUCCUUUGUGACAGUGGAGACCAGGACUCAGUAGUCCCUUUGACAGGGACGAGAUCACUCAUUGGAGGCCUGGCAAAAUCGCUGGGAAUGCAAACCACACAACCAUACACGGCAUGGUACCAAGGUGGUCAGGUAUACAAAACCGUAGAGAUCGAUGAAAGAAAAGGAAAGAGGAGCAGAAACUGAAAAAUUCCCUUGCAGGUAGCUGGAUGGACUCAAAGCUAUGGCAACUUGACAUACGCGACAAUACGAGGAGCGGCCCAUAUGGUUCCCUAUGCCCAGCCGGAGCGCGCCUUGCUGCUCUUUCGGUCCUUCAUCCGGGGAAAUGCGCUGCCGAUCAAGAGCGCCUAGAAUCACACACACACCGCAUUCUUUCCAAAAUGUACCUAAAGAGAAUACAGAAAAAGACCUACCAGAACCCAAAUUUUAAGCGAGCUGGUCCCAUGGUGUAGUGGUUAUCACGUCUGCUUUACACGCAGAAGGCCGCGAGUUCGAACCUCGCUGGGGCCAUUUUUUAUUUACUUGAGAUGAUAAUAGAUAAAUUACUGACACAGCACAUUUUAUUUUGAUUUUUGCAAUUUUGUACUUGUUUAUCUAAAUGAUAUACUAAACAACAACUUGGCAUCUUUCCACAAGAAUAUCAGUGACACUAUAACUAGCUUCUUAUUAAUUCAUAUAUGCAUGAUAAAUUCAAAGCAAACCAAGCUAACAUAGCAAAUUUUUAUUUUUGCAAUUUUGUACUUGUUUAACUUGUAUAUAUAUAUAUGUGAGGGCUAAGUGUACGACUACGAUGCCAUAUACUAAUAUUAGCAUAGUGGGAUUUUAGUAGCCGUCGGAUUGGUUUCAAUCUGGACCAUUCGCUCCUGUAUAUAAGCUAGGGUUUUUGGGCUAAUUAAUAUGCAUAUUUUUUAUAUUCCCUUUUCAUAUUCCAAGCACUCACAUUGAUGGAGAUGAGGGGCACUUUUGAUUGUCCCUGAGGAGUGCUUGGAUUUAGGAUUUUGGUUUAAAUUUAACUUUUGCAUUGUUUAGAUCUAGCUUUUUCUAUUUCCUUUCUUUUGUUCUUUUCUUUCAGGAUUUUUGUUUAGAUCUAGUUUUUUCCAUUGUCUAGAUCUUUCUAGCUUUUUGUCAUUUCACUUUUUUUGCUUUUUCUUUUUCAUUCGUCUCCAUGGCAGAUUAGCAAUCUCCUCCUUUGACCUCUAAAGCAGCAGUUGGUACAAUUGUUUGAUGCUAUGUGCUUGCAAUUGAACAACCAAACUUAGUUGAUAGUGGCAUUUACGGCAUAUGGUAUAACUCCUCCUGCUUUUGGUGCCAAUCCUCGUGUUCAGCUAAAGUUCUUUCGUGGGAAUCCUAGAGAUGAUGUGUACCAUUGGUUCGAUCACUUCACGGUAAUUGCCACAUAUCAUUCUUGGGAUGAUGCUCAACAUUUGCAUGAAUUUCCCACGUGUCUCUAAGGGAUAAUGUUGCAAUGGUACAAUAGUUUGGGCGCAGCCACUCGUGGGGAUUGGAGUGUUCUUCCAGAUGUCUUCAAACACGCCUUCAGACAUGCCGAUGAUUGUGAUGAUGCCUUCCAACAAAUGCAUUGUCUUCGCCAAGGGCCAUCCGAGUCGGUGAUGCAAUUUGGCGUUCGUUUUCGAAGUCUUUUGCUUUAUGCGGAGCCAAAUAUGUUGGAGCGGAUCAAGCUAGGAAUGUUGUGGCCAGCACUUCGUCAAGAUCUUGUCGGACUUGUGCAUGCAUUUGCUCCUGUCGCGAAUGUGACUUCAGGUAUCGAAAGUUACCUGUCAGCUAGUCCUUUCGGAUAUUCUUACCUUACUGCCACGACGGCAGGAGGUCGGUAUUGCUGGACCCUUUAUCAAUCCCUCUUGUGCUAGUGGAGUUAACUGGGCAUUUCGAGUAUACUUAGACCGGACGAGCAUAAGGAUGGAAUUCCUACGUGUUAUUAGCUAAGCAUACUUAGCCCGGUAAGGAGUUCCCGUCUCGUUUUGUCUUGCACUUGCUAGUGACAAGAACUCUCGAGUAUUGAGAUUGGUCCCUCAAUAUCGCUGGAUGAUAGCUUACCGUGUUUGCCAAACACCCUCGCUAUCAUGCCCUUUGUGUUACUCUCAUUUCGGUCCCAAAUGCUAUUUAUGGAAAGUGUCCAGAUUUCUCAUUUGGCAUAUUUACGGAAUGUAGAGAUCGGCCUGAACACAAUGGUGUUCGUCCCGUGUCCAAAUUCGCAAUCUAGGGACAUUCCAUAUUUAGUAAGUUUUGAGCUUGUCCCAGAGACUAACUCCAGAUACUAAGGGAGGCUUGGGGUGAAAGCCCAAAGCGUGUGUUCCUGUGAGACACAAAAUCCCUAGGCCCCAAAGUGGAGCCAGAAAGGGUGCCACGUGGUAGUGGCUGAAGCGAGAGCCAAACGAGCGUAACACGUUUGGACCAAAAGCUCCGACUUGAAAAGUCAAGAGCGGGAGUGGAACUCCCAACGAAGUGCUCGAGGAACGAGCACGAAGCGAGCAAAAAGCGAGGCUCCAAAAAGGGACCCAAAAGGACCAACACAUGACACGUGGAAGUGUCUGAGAUGGACUCGAGUUGGAGUCCGAAGUGGAGUCCGAGAUGGACUCGAGUUGGAGUCCGAAGUGGAGUCCGAGAUGGACCCGAGUUGGAGUCUGAAGUGGAGUCCGAGAUGGACCUGAGUUGGAGUCCGAAGUGGAGUCCGAGGUGGACCCGAGAUGGACCCGAAACGGGGUCCGAGAUGGAGUCCGAGAUGGACCCGAAAUGGAGUCCGAGAUGGACACAAGAUGGACCCGAAAUGGAGUCCGAGAUGGAGUCCGAGAUGGAGUCCGAGGUGGACCCGAGAUGGACCCGAAAUGGAGUCCGAGAUGGAGUCCGAGAUGGACCCGAAAUGGAGUCCGAGAUGGAGUCCGAGAUGGACCCGAGAUGGAGUCCGAGAUGGACCCGAAAUGGAGUCCGAGAUGGACCCGAGAUGGAGUCCGAGAUGGACCCGAGAUGGAGUCCGAGAUGGAGUCCGAGAUGGAGUCCGAGACCGGGACCGAGACCGAGACCGAGAUCGGGACCGAGAACGAGACUGAGGCCGAGGCCGAGACCGAGCCCGAGCCCGAGUCCAAGUCCGAGUCCGAGUCCGAGUCCGAGUUCGAGUCUGAGAGGGUGAAAGCCCAAAGCGUUCAUCUCCCAGACCCUGGGGGGUUUGGUGAGCUCCAAAAGUAUAGUAGGGGGAGGACUGCAGUGGAGCCAGUUUGGCCAGGAAAGGCCAGUUUGGCCCAGGAAGGCCGGACCCAGUGUUGGGUGAUGAGCUGUCCACUGGGAAGUCCAAGACUAGAGUGAACACAGACCGACAAGCGGGGUAGCUUGGUGAAGUGUUCAAGAGCCGGCUCUAGUUCCCCCGGGAGAUCGACUGGCCGAUGCUCCCAGUCCAAGUGUGGGUGGCACUACCUACUUGGAUACCUGGUGUGGCUCAACGGAACCCGCUCUAAGCCCCUGGCUAGAGCACCCAAGGGCAGAAGGUGAGGAGAGUACCCAGGUGGCUCGCGUAAGGCCACGGUGUUCCGAAAUGUUGUCCCAAAGGCCCAGACUGUGGAAAGGAAGAGGAGCAGUCCUCUGGGGUAGUGACCAAGGACACAGUCGUGUGGUGAAGAAGUCCCAGAGGACCGUGGGACUUAGUGGUCGGGCCUGUGGGUCUCGAUCCAGUGGCAGUGUUGGCAAACACGGCCAGGGGCAGAAAGGGACUUAAUGGGGACUGACAGAGGGAUAUUGGGGAAGGCUAUUCCCCUUGUCGGUGGGCAUCCUAAGGAUGCUAAGGAGUGGAUCUGAGAUGACCACUCACGGAUGGUUUGCCUAGUCUUGGAGAGCCAAAAUGGUGAUGCAAGUGGUAUUGGACUACCAGUGUGGCAAAGGUGAUCGGGCAUGGCCUUAGCGUAACGGGCUGCUAUGUCAGUGGUACCUUUGAGUGUCGGUCAUGGGAUCGGACACGUGGAGCACUUGGACCAAGUGCAAAUGUUGAGUGGCAUGGAUGCCAUUCUCGGGGCUAGCAAGUCCCAAGUCCUGGAUUGGACUUAUAGAGGUUGCGAAUGAGACUCCUCCAAGUGGUCAGAGGUGUGGUUAAGUGACUAAAGUAGAAUGGAAAAUUUAGUCGUUUACAAUUUGGUAUCGGAGCUGUUCCUUAGUCCGACUUUUAUUAGUGCUCAAGUAUAUCACCUCUAGUGUUGGCAUUGGAAGGUCCAAGGAGUGGGCCUAUCCUUGAGGAGUAGCAAGUCGGGAAGACAUGGCUCUCCAUUACAGUUCAUGUGUAAACUUGUAGACGAGGUGGUGGAUAGAAAAGGGCCAAUAAUGGAAUGACUUUGGGAUCUUGGGAACAAUGCAAGGUUUUCCUCAUUGAGUUGAGGAUGUGAUCCGGAUGAGCAUUUGUCUCAGCAAAUUGGCUAAGGUUGUUGUGGUAAACAACUAAAGUUGGGAUCACGGGAAAGAUAGAGACUCCAAAACAAUAAAGGAGUCACAAGAUUAUCCUCAUAUAGUUGAGGUUGGUGCUCAUGAAUGUGAGACCAGAGGUAAUGACCAUGGGAGGUCAAAUACGGAAGAGGACUCAAGUCCUUGAAAUGGUAGCCGGGGCUACCUUUAAUAAAUGUUGGAACAACCCAAGGAGUUGGGGGGUGUACUUAGAGAUGAGUGGUAUUCUCAUCGCAUGGACAAGUAGUCCUAAGGGGCAAAAGUUGCCCCCAGAGAACAAAAUCAAGUGUCGGAGUAACACUUGUGAAAAUAGUCCUUUUGAGUAGGACAGGAAUGCAAGAAGUGUAUUCCAGUGAGCUAGUGCCUCACAAGUAAGACCUUACGGGUCUGUGGAUUAACCAAGUCCAAAACUGUUGGAUGACUCAAGUAGAGUCCAGGGAUGGUCCUAAAAGUACUGAUGGAAGCAUUUGGACUGAGGUGUGUUAUACCCCACAAAGGAUGGGGGGGGAUCAUAGGAUCCAAGGAUGAGAAUAGAGGGUAUCUCAUCGAUGGCAAAAUGUGCCAUGCUAAAGUUAUGGGAAAGGUGUUCCCAGAAGAAAACAACUUUGACACAAAGUUGUGUGUGACCUCUAUGGUGCAGUGCUAACAGAUGGUUGGCAUGAGAAAGGGCGGUGUUGGUCUUGGCAAAGACUUAGACACAAAUGGAAAGUGUCAUAGAGGUAGGCUCGUGGAGCCGAUGGUGUGGAGACACCAAAUGUGCCAAGGUGUGAUACCUUGAGGCUAUGUUGGUGGGUUCAUGAGAACCCCUUGCCAAAGGAAUCCCAAUGGAAAUGGGAAUGGCAUAGCCUAAGCUGCAGAGCAUGCAGUUGGAGUGUGGUGACCCAGAUAAUGAUGGAGGUGUGAAAGCACCAAGCAAUGAGUUGUAGGACUUGACAACUAUGAGGCAACUAAGCAAGGGUGCAAAAUAACUAGUUAAACAGGUAGAAGGUAGCUACCGAGGACUUCUUAAUAGCAUAGGGAAGUCGGAUAUACCCUUACGGGGGAUAAGUUGCUUGUGUUGCGAUAUAGUAAGUCAAUGUCAUAAAAGGAAAUACUCAUUGUUAAGAAAGCCAUCAUUGGGACACCCGAACACUCUAGAACACCAGAAGGUGGUGUUUGAUAUCGCAAGGGCAAUGGAUAAAGCCCAAGGGACUAAGUCCCUAGCGAAUGAUGGAUAGAAGGUGCUAUCCAAAUGUCCAAGGUUGCGGAGACAGGAGAGGACUGUCUACCCGAGUUGGACAAAUCCAAAAAUGGAAUUUUGGCAAGGCUAGUGAUGGGCAUGUAAAGGCCCAUAAGCAACAAUGUAAUCCCAGUGUGUGGGAUUAUAAGGUGAGCAUACCCGGAUUGAGGAACCACUCCCUGGGCUAUUGGGUAGGUUCAUCCCUAAGAAUACUUGCUAAAGCAUGAUAGAAAGUGCAACGCUAUCCUCCUAGUCUGGAGGAGAAUGACCAAAGGAAAGGUGUGAAGCCAAAAGCAAGAAGUAAGGGGAUAGAACUGAACCAUAGGAAUCGAAGGGCAUAACCAAGGUUGGUUAUGCCAGCUAGGAGUGGAGAAUCAAGUGGGGGCUCAAGGGUGUUGUCGCUAGCAACUGUGAUGCCAUGGAGAGUCUAAAAUAUGGAAUUGUCCAUGUUAGACUAGGUGGCAUUUGGAAGGCUUGCAAAAAGGGAGGCCUUAGCAAGCUGAGGGACAGAGUUCCUUCAAGGUUCCCAAAGACGAUUUUAGGUAGCUUAGUACCUAGAAAGGCCAAGUGUAAAUGGUUCAUGGAACGCGCGAAAUCAGAGUAGCGCAGCAGAAGCGUGGUCUUGAAGCUUGCCAUGAGGCAAGGCUAUCAAGGUUAGGGAAGUAGUUCCCGAGUGUUCAAAGAGAGGGCUUUGAACGAAAGUCGAUGGUCAAGGACUUUCACGCUUAUGCAGGAACUAUGUUACAGUGGUCGGAGGACUUGCCAAGCGAGAUUGGCACGUCGGGGGAACAAAUACCCUAGUUGAAGGUGAUAACUUCAAAAAGGGUGGGCCAUGGGGCUGAGCGUGGAGGAGUCCAUGCAUGAUCACAGACAUGUCAAGUGAGAGGACUUGGCAGUGUGGAGGAACUAGGUUCCUAAGCUAUGAUCUGUAGCGUGCUUUAAAAAUAAGUUGGUGCACCGACGUGGGGAGUCAUGCCAGGCAUCUUGUGUGAUGCCGUCCGUAGAUGCAUAUACGAAGGUUGGGUUCGAGUCCCGACCCCCUAGUGCUUGGGUUCGAGUCCCAAAUCACUAGGGCGUGGUGAUGGUUUGGAAUAUGAGGACACUCAUAUUUCGGUGGUCAUGGACUCUCAGUGGGGAGACUGGUUUGGGCACACUGCCAAGCGAGGGAUGCCUCGGAGUCGUGAUGCACGGUUAGAUUGCUUAGUGUGAAAGCUCGGCAUAUUUAACUUGAACGCUUUGGUGCAAGUGGCACCAAGGACGUGGUGAGUGAGAUGGGGACACCUAAUCUCAGUUGCUAUGGACCCUUGGCCGAAAGGGCUGGCUUGGGCGCACCGCCAAGUGUGGGGGAUGCCCCCGGGGUCGUAGUUAACAAGUUAAAGGUCUGGAAGACCUAGUACCUAUUGGCAAACCUGUUAAGGUGCCGAGGUGAGAUCACUAGGUGAUCUUGUGGCUAAAUAAGGACAAGGUCCUUGUUUGGGUUAAGGAAUAAGAUUCCUAGUUCAAAGUGUUGAUUUGAACUAUUGAUUAUAGUGUGGCUUGGUCAAGGUGACCAAGUGGGAAAAGCACCUUAGGGAAAUGAGCUAUGUCAUUGCGAUGGCAUAAUGUGUCCAAGGAAAGUAGUCUCUAAAGAGACCCAUGAGAGGGUCACAAAAGUGGGCCGAGGAUAGAGCCCACAGCAGAAGAUGCUAAAAGAGACUUACUAGGGGUGAACACCCUAGUCUUGGCAAAGCAGAGCCUUUGCUAUGGAAUCAAAAGAAUACCUCAAGGAGGGAGGUAGAGAUUCGAUGUUGCUUGGUGCAACAAUCAACAGAUAGGAGCAAAAGAUGAGUGGCCAAGAUAGGGCCGUGGAAUCCCUUGGAAGGAAUCCAAGUGACAAAGUUAGGCGAGGAACACUAAUGUGUUGGACGCUAACAAAUUGCGGGAAAGGAAGUGUGUUUCCAAGAAUGGAUUCCGAAUUGCUCCGAUUUGGCAAAAGUGGAAGCUCCAAGGGAGGGAGCGGUAAGGUAGCCAAAUGAUAGGGCGAUGGACAACCCUAGCACAAGGUGUGAUAAAUGGAACUUAGUGCCCAAGGUGGCACGAAAUAGAAGAGAGGAUGAUAGUGCCCUCAAGUAAUGAACUUCCUAGGAUAGGGAAGUGGAGUUGCACAAUUUGUGCAAUGCAAGGUGUUGGAGACACCUAGGAAAUUGACUUCCAAAAGUCAAAAGAGUAAAAGUUCCAAGGUGCAAACAUUCAAUAGAUGGAAAUUGAGACUACUCGAGAAGGAGUAGUGGGAUUGACUUAGAGAAGGGUCUCUAAGAGGUUUAGCAAGAAUUAAACCAAUAAAAGAAGAGAACCACUACAUGUGGUCCAAUAAGUCUCUAAGUUGGAGAGACUACCCUCCUUAGAGGAUAGGCAAGGCAUGGUGAGCCUUUGGUGUCAAACCAUUGAGGCAUAUGCAAAAGGCAUGGUGAGCCUUCAAUGUCAAACCAUUGACAAAUAUUGGCUAGGUGCCAAGGAUGGAAAUGGUAACACAUGCGAGGGUUACUUUACAAAAUGGUUUACCGUUCGAUGAGGACAUCGAACUUCGUCUAUGGGUGGUGGAGUUGUGAGACACAAAAUCCCUAGGCCCCAAAGUGGAGCCAGAAAGGGUGCCACGUGGUAGUGGCUGAAGUGAGAGCCAAACGAGCGUAACACGUUUGGACCAAAAGCUCCGACUUGAAAAGUCAAGAGCGGGAGUGGAACUCCCAACAAAGUGCUCGAGGAACGAGCACGAAGCGAGCAAAAAGCGAGGCUCCAAAAAGGGACCCAAAAGGACCAACACAUGACACGUGGAAGUGUCCGAGAUGGACCCGAGUUGGAGUCCGAAGUGGAGUCCGAGAUGGACCCGAGUUGGAGUCCGAAGUGGAGUCCGAGGUGGACCCGAGAUGGACCCGAAACGGAGUCCGAGAUGGACACAAGAUGGACCCGAAAUGGAGUCCGAGAUGGAGUCCGAGAUGGAGUCCGAGGUGGACCCGAGAUGGAACCGAAAUGGAGUCCGAGAUGGAGUCUGAGAUGGACCCGAAAUGGAGUCCGAGAUGGAGUCCGAGAUGGACCCGAGAUGGAGUCCGAGAUGGACCCGAAAUGGAGUCCGAGAUGGACCCAAGAUGGAGUCCGAGAUGGACCCGAGAUGGAGUCCGAGAUGGAGUCCGAGAUGGAGUCCGAGAUGGAGUCCGAAGUCGAGACCGAGACCGGGACCGAGACCGAGACCGAGAUCGGGACCGAGAACGAGACCUAGGCCGAGGCCGAGACCGAGCCCGAGCCCGAGUCCGAGUCUGAGUCCGAGUCCGAGUCCGAGUCCGAGUUCGAGUCUGAGAGGGUGAAAGCCCAAAGCGUUCAUCUCCCAGACCCUGGGGGGUUUGGUGAGCUCCAAAAGUAUAGUAGGGGGAGGACUGCAGUGGAGCUAGUUUGGCCAGGAAAGGCCAGUUUGGCCCAGGAAGGCCAGACCCAGUGUUGGGUGAUGAGCUGUCCACUGGGAAGUCCAAGACUAGAGUGAACACAGACCGACAAGCGGGGUAGCUUGGUGAAGUGUUCAAGAGCCGGCUCUAGUUCCCCCGGGAGAUCGACUGGCCGAUGCUCCCAGUCCAAGUGUGGGUGGCACUACCUACUUGGAUACCUGGUGUGGCUCAACGGAACCCACUCUAAGCCCCUGGCUAGAGCACCCAAGGGCAGAAGGCGAGGAGAGUACCCAGGUGGCUCGCGUAAGGCCACAGUGUUCCGAAAUGUUGUCCCAAAGGCCCAGACUGUGGAAAGGAAGAGGAGCAGUCCUCUGGGGUAGUGACCAAGGACACAGUCGUGUGGUGAGGAAGUCCCAGAGGACCGUGGGACUUAGUGGUCGGGCCUGUGAGUCUCGAUCCAGUGGCAGUGUUGGCAAACACGGCCAGGGGCAGAAAGGGACUUAGUGGGGACUGAUAGAGGGAUAUUGGGGAAGGCUAUUCCCCUUGUCGGUGGGCAUCCUAAGGAUGCUAAGGAGUGGAUCUGAGAUGACCACUCACGGAUGGUUUGCCUAGUCUUGGAGAGCCAAGAUGGUGAUGCAAGUGGUAUUGGACUACCAGUGUGGCAAAGGUGAUCGGGCAUGGCCUUAGCGUAACGGGCUGCUAUGUCAGUGGUACCUUUGAGUGUCGGUCAUGGGAUCGGACACGUGGAGCACUUGGACCAAGUGCAAAUGUUGAGUGGCAUGGAUGCCAUUCUCGGGGCUAGCAAGUCCCAAGUCCUGGAUUGGACUUAUGGAGGUUGCAAAUGAGACUCCUCCAAGUGGUCAGAGGUGUGGUUAAGUGACUAAAGUAGAAUGGAAAAUUUAGUCGCUUACAGUUCCUCAAGGGGGGGGGGGGGGCUAUGGGGGGUUCCAAAUGUAUAGUAGGGAUAGUGGGUAGGUCGGGCAUGGCCGACCAACCUGAGGCAUAGUCUAGCUUCCGCUUGCGUGCCUGUCCUUGUUCUGCGUCCGGCUUGGGUCUAAGCCCAAGUUCCAUUCCAUGCUAGCUGGUGGAAUACCCAUACUCUCACGUUAGGCCACCGGUAUGCCGAAAUAGCGCCAAACUCCGUUUGGCUCCGUUUUGAGUGCUAGUCCUGGCAUUGGGAUGCUGGUUGCUCUAGGACUGUUCCAAGUCGCUCCGGGCUCCUGUCCUUCGCUCCUUGGGCAAUAUGCUCGGGAGUUGCUCCGUGGUCCGGUUCCAUCACUCCUUGGCGUCACGCUUGGGAGUUUGGCACCGUUCCUUUGUUCAGUGGCCCAAGGCCCUGAACCUCGGGUUCCUGUGAACACGUGGCAUGGACAUGUGGCACAAAGAGGGUUUAGGUUCCGCUUCGUGGUGUUAUCCUAUGGUAAAUCACCAUAGGAUAAAGGGUCAAAACCAUGUGCGCUACAUUUGGUAUCAGAGGAUGAGUCUCAGCGAGUACUAUUCAAUGAGAUUGGGCAACUAGUCUUGUUACAUACGUAGAGAUGAAAACGAUGAUCCGAGUGGGUACACGUUUGGGUGCAAAGACUUCGCAAUCGUUCCUUGGGUAUGGAUUUGGUUACCUUCUUGUACCGUAAUUAUGUGAGCUUGCUCUUGGGCUCAUAAGAUGGAUUUGAGUUGUUCCAGUAGCACGAGUUUGCGCUUGGGCUCGUGAGUGAGGCACAUUAGCAACUCAAGGUUGCACUUUGAGUUGGCAGGAUUAAUGUUAGCCUAUUAGUGGUUCCGUGAGUUAUUCCUUGUACCAUGGGUGAAAGCAAACCUACCUAGGUUUGUUAUGAGUGGCAAAUAGGCUGGUCCGUAGCUGUUUAGCACGGCACUAGUGGAUCCUUCCUAGGCAUGAUUAUAAGUGGAUCAAUUAAGACUGUAGGGAAUAGUCUAUUGGUUCAAGUAAUCAUUGCCGUGCUCUCUCAUAAACUUUUCUUCGAUUGAACUGAAGGCAGUGCGAAAGCAAGCUUAAGGUUUAGUCAAAGAUGAGACCGAAAAGAGAGUUGUCAGGGAUGAAGGAUCAAACACGUAAAUCAUUUUCUCUUCUUGGAGAGAUGAUUUGCAACGAAGUGUUAACUCAUUACUCGUGUUCACAUCAUGCAAUCAAGAGUCCCUAUCUUGAUGCAUGUUGGAGAUGGUGGUCUUACAAUGGUGAGUUGUGGGAUGGAUAGCGGUGAAGUGCUAAACCAUUUUGUCUAAGCUUGCUAUUGGAAGACUUGGGUUGCAAUGCUCAAUUCUUUUUCGAGGAACCUUGCUAUUGCUCCUUGAGUAGCUUGGUGUUGGAUUAGUUUUGAGUUUGGUUGGAAAGAGAGUGGCAUAAGCUUGUCCAUGUUGUGAACAAAAGUUAGUGGUGUUGGGUGUUGUAAAUCUCUAUUGAUAGGGUGUGGCAUUUAUGUUGCAUUUUGUCGAAUUGAGUUAGCACUUGAUAUUCACAUAAACCUUUGUAGUAGUGACAUGGGCAUUUCUCAUAGUGUUGCUUGAUUGAUGAUCAAGUCAUUGUGAUUUAUAUCAUAUUCAUGUGAUAAUAAGCAAUGUGUUUACGAAGUUGCUUGGGUAAAUGAUGAUCAACCCCAAAGUGGUUGAUGGAGAAGCUAGUCUACUUGCAUGUAGUAGCAUUGUAGUAGCUUUGACUGGAUUCUUUAUAAAGCUCUAUUUCGUUAAAGUGGGAUUUAUUCAGUAAAAUGGGACUAGGUACAAAUUUUCAAGUAUUUGAAAAUGACGUGAAAUUAUAUGUUUUUUGUCCAGGGGCUAGACAUAUCUGGGGCAUGGUGACUAGCGCGGUGACUUUGUGUCCAGACUGAGUCCAUCUGGUUGUAUAAUAAAUCUCAUUGUCAAGGUGAACAAGCCGAAUCUGAAGCUAAAGAAGAGUGAUGGCAUGCGCGCACACACUAUUUGUUUGUUCAUUGAGCGUGUGGUGAGCUUUCCAAGAUGAACGUCAUUCCUAUUAGCCAGACAUAUAACUUAAUGGUGAGAACAUUUAGAUAUUAUUCAAUGUUAUCUUUUUCUAACAAAUCUAAUUGUGAAGGUGUAGCAAGAGGCAUUGCUAGUCUGGAGAAGUCAUUUAACUCAUUUGACCCUUAGUGUAUUUUCAUGAAACUAAAUAACAUUCAUAUUAUUAAGGAAUUUCUCUAGUACCUUUUUUUUACGACAUAGAGGCUUGCAUUUCUUUCAAAGGUGAUUUAGUAAAAGGCCUGAGGGCACAUGCCAUUCUAUUUCUCAGACCGGUAUUAAGAUAUACUAGUGCAAAGGGCCACAUGCCAUCACGCCUCCUCUGAUUCAGAUUCGGAUUGUUCACCUUGAAAUAAAAUACAUUAGAAACUUAGUAAAGGAAUAUUAAUGAAUCUCACCUUGAACCCGGGUUAUGAAUGCUCUUGCUGCAUCUCUUGCAUGGUCUGGCAAGGUGAUGGUGGCACUCUGCUUCCGCAUCCAACCAUGCACAACAUUAUCCACCGAUAUGCUCAUGCUGGGAUCCCUUGGAUUCAGCACCCAUCUCUUUUCUAGGCAAUCCUUCGUAUAUUCGGAACUUGGCUUGAACCACUCCACAGUUACAUUGAAGGAGUUAGUUUCCGCGUCCUCCUCUGCAUCAGUGAUGCAGCACCCCACCCAUAUCAUUUGUUUUUUAUUACUGGGUCUGACAAGCACGACCAUUCCUUUGCAGACCUGUACUAGAUUGAAUGCUGAAUCCGGCUUCUUGUUCCUCGGCCCACAAUAGUGAUCCUCAACAUCGUUAUCUAUCACUGCAUUUCCAGAGGACAUUGUUCCGCUACUAUCUGGUGCUCUGGGUUCUGGCCAAAAGGACUCUUCCAAUUCUUCAUAUACAACCGGCCCAUUUUGGAUAGCAGAUAUAAUCUUCUCCCAGUAUUCGAGCAAAGGCUUGCACCUCUUAAAAUAGGAUUCUCCACCAAACACCAACCCCCUCUUCCAGAAGGCAAUAUGCUGUCUAAUCCCGGCCACUAUACUUUCCUGGUCUUUGAGUCCAUCCGGGUGCAUCGGCCGUGGGGAACCCUGAGGAAUCAUAGGUUCCCCAGUUAUGGGAUCUCUCUUGAAGAGUUCAAUGCCAUCCACUGGCAGCCACACUGUGUCCCAUUCUCUCAUCUUGUACCUCAUCACUGGAGCACCGUCACGCAUGCUGAAAUGAAACUGAAGAGGCUUGGAGUGGCCAAUCAGCGUUUCGGAUCCGUCCCUAAUGUAGCCUCUUACAAACCCCUUAAAGUCUGGAACCUCUGUCACAAGUGCAGCUUCAACAGUGCCUUUGAUGCAAUUUUGGAAUUCAUUGUAGAGUUGUGGGAGGGUGAGGACAUUGGAUCGUCGGAGGGACUCUGCCAGGUGACUGAACAUGGCAUCGACGUCUUCAUGAGUGUGCCCAACCAUGAGAAAGCCAAGUGUAACCGUUUCAAAUAUGCCUUUGGCAACAAGCAUCGCCAAGUACGCGAAGACGUACAUGUUUUUGUUCUCACUGCCAGCAUUGUCUGUUUGGAGCAGAAGAUGGGGUGGAAGGCCACAUUGGCUGCAAGAACUUCCUUGAGAUUCUGCUUCGUUUGGAUGAGGCUGUGCAUUCACCGGGCAACUAGCCUCGUCGGAAUGGCAUGAGGCCUCACGUGAUAACCCUACAAUCUGACGGCCAACAUAUUCACUGGGAUGGCAUGGGGCCCCACGCGAUACUGCAAGCCUUUGCUCCUCCUCCAGCUGAACCCUGUAUGGGGUUCGAUCGACAAGGGCCUUAUGCAAGGGUUGGCCGUUCAGCUCAGUCUGCGCAUUUUGCAGAGACCUUAAGUGUUUUGCUAGGGACGCAAUCAUCAUGUUUGCACCCCCGCCACCCCAUAGAGGUACAAAGAAGUUCCCAUAGUUCUGGGCACCAUGCCCAUGAGCGAUUAUGCCAAACAAAGACACAGGCAGCUGCAUGGAUGAAGAGAUUGCCUUGGGGGCAGGAUUGAGUCGAGGUAAGCACGUCUUUUUCUGGUCCAUUUUGUCGUGGAUGAUGCAGAGGUAAGAGUCAGGUCUCUCCAUGGAGAGAAUCCUGUUAUGAUAAUAUGCAGUCCUGCAGCUUCUCUGCUUGAUGUUGUGGUCGAGCCGCCUUCUAACCAACGUCUCUCGCUCUUGAGCGCUGCAAGAAUUCUUCGACAAAGCCAUUUUGAUAGCAGUGCACUCGUCACACUUUGAAAAGCUGGAGUACUUUCCUAUACUCACAUCCCUGAACCUGUUGCUCCACAAUCUACUAAAUCUAGAUUGGCUCAGCUUCCUGUAGCCAUUACUCUGGAGUUCCCGAUUCACAUCUUCCAAUAUGGCCCCUUUGGUAUACAUGGAAGGGAGAACUCGUUGGGUGUCUCGUGUUCCAUCUUCCAAGAGGCGGGUUUUAUAUGGUUGCUGCUCGCUACAUGUGUCGACAAACUGUGACACACAAAAUCCCUAGGCCCCAAAGUGGAGCUGGAAGGGCGCCACAUGGUAGUGGCCGAAGCGAGAGCCAAACGAGCGUAACACGUUUGGACCAAAAGCUCCGACUUGAAAAGUCAAGAGCGGGAGUGGAACUCCCAACGAAGUGCUCGAGGAACGAGCACGAAGCGAGCAAAAGGCGAGGCUCCAAAAAGGGACCCAAAAGGACCAACACAUGACACGUGGGAGUGUCCGAGAUGGACUCGACUUGGAGUCCAAAGUGGAGUCCGAGAUGGACUCGAGUUGGAGUCCGAAGUGGAGUCCGAGAUGGACCUGAGUGGGAGUCCGAAGUGGAGUCCGAGAUGGAGUCCGAGGUGGAGUCCGAGAUGGAGUCCGAGUUGGAGUUCGAGGUGGACCCGAGAUGGACCCGAGUUGGAGUCCGAGAUGGAGUCCGAGAUGGAGUCCGAGAUGGAGUCCGAGAUGGAGUCCGAGAUGGAGUCCGAAGUCGAGACCGAGACCGGGACCGAGACCGGGACCGAGACCGAGACUGUUAGGAUCCUAUCCCUUACACCCUAAACCAACUGGCUAAAGGGGUGAUCACUUGAUUGUAGGGCCCUUUCCUUAUCCUAUUAUCCUGACCUAGUGCCUAACAAUCCUCCCCCUCGUCAGGGAAUGAUCGUCCUCGAUCAUACUUAGGCAACCAUCCGGUCACCAUGGUCCUUCUCUUAGGGUCUACCAAACCUUGGUUCUCCCUCUAGAUCCACCAUGUUGAAUAUUCCUUCAGAAUAUUCCUGCCCCACUCGUCAGCCACGAGAAUCGAACUGGGCUCCGAUACCAAUGUUAGGAUCCUAUCCCUUACACCCUAAGCCAACUGGCUAAAGGGGUGAUCACUUGAUUGUAGGGCCCUUUCCUUAUCCUAUUAUCCUGACCUGGUGCCUAACAGAGACCGAGAUCGGGACCGAGACCGAGACCGAGGCCGAGGCCGAGACCGAGCCCGAGCCCGAGUCCGAGUCCGAAUCCGAGUCCGAGUCCGAGUCCGAGUCCGAGUCCGAGUCCGAGUCCGAGUCCGGAGCCUGAGAGGGUGAAAGCCCAAAGCGUUCGUCUCCCAGACCCUGGGGGGUUUGGUGAGCCCCAAAAGUAUAGUAGGGGGAGGACUGCAGUGGAGCCAGUUUGGCCAGGAAAGGCCAGUUUGGCCAGGAAAGGCCAGUUUGGCCAGGAAAGGCCAGUUUGGCCCAGAAAGGCCGGACCCAGUGUUGGAUGAUGAGCUGCCCACUGGGAAGUCCAAGACUAGAGUGAUCACGGACCGACAAGCGGGGUAGCUUGGUGAAGUGUUCAAGAGCCGGCUCUAGUUCCCCCGGGAGAUCGACUGGCCGAUGCUCCCAGUCCAAGUGUGGGUGGCACUACCUACUUGGAUACCUGGUGUGGCUCAACGGAACCCGCUCUAAGCCCAUGGCUAGAGCACCCAAGGGCAGAAGGCGAGGAGAGUACCCAGGUGGCUCGCGUAAGGCCACGGUGUUCCGAAAUGUUGUCCCAAAGACCCAGACUGUGGAAAGGAAGAGGAGCAGUCCUCUGGGGUAGUGACCAAGGACAUAGUUGUGUGGUGAGGAAGUCCCAGAGGACUGUGGGACUUAAUGGUCGGGCCUGUGGGUCUCGAUCCAGUGGCUGUGUUGGCAAACACGACCAGGGGCAGAAAGGGACUUAGUGGGGACUGACAGAGGGAUAUUGGGGAAGGCUAUCCCCUUGUCGGUGGGCAUCCUAAGGAUGCUAAGGAGUGGAUCUGAGAUGACCACUCAUGGAUGGUUUGCCUAGUCUUGGAGAGCCAAGACUGUGAUGCAAGUGGUAUUGGACUACCAGUGUGGCAAAGCUGAUUGGGCAUGGCCUUAGCGUAACGGGCUGCUAUGUCGGUGGUACCUUUGAGUGUCGGUCAUGGGAUUGGACACGUGGAGCACUUGGACCAAGUGCAAAUGUUGAGUGGCAUGGAUGCCAUUCUCGGGGCUAGCAAGUCCCAAGUCCUGGAUUGGACUUAUGGAGGUUGUGAAUGAGACUCCUCCAAGUGGUCAGAGGUGUGGUUAAGUGACUAAAGUAGAAUGGAAAAUUUAGUCACUUACACAAACCUCUUGAAGAUUGCCUCUCCAUAUACAACAUGACCCCUGGUUUUGUGCGUACCGUCGUUCCCAUGGACUGCCUGUUGAACCCUUUGUUCCUCGAACUCAGUUUUGAUUCUGUAGAAUGUGCUUCGAGGGACUCCAUAAAUGAUUCUCCAUGCCUUCACCCCUCUGGAAGACCAUGCCCCCCACCUGAUGUUCUGAAGCAUCAACAGAUGACCGUAAUGCCUCAUACACAAAAUUGCGAGUUACCUUCCAGGGCAAUGUCUUGUAUCUUGCUCUCUCCUCUUCAAUAGCAUCCCAAUCAGCAUGUUGACAGCACCUCCUCUUGCAACAAGCAACUGUCGAGACCAUUCGAACCUCCAUCGCCAUUUUCUGCCUUUUCGGUUCGUUGCUCAGAUCCCUUUGGCUGCGCUGUAGGAAGGUGUACUUUCUUUUCCCAUGAAGAGAUGUUCUGUCAUCAAUUGUAGUGGUGUUUGAUUGUGAAUCCUUCACAUUCUCAAACACUAAAUGCCUCAAUUUCCACCGCACAAUGCUUCCAAUAGUCAGACUGUUUUCUUCUGUGUCAACAACCUCUAAAAUUGCAACUCCAAUAUCAUCCCAGCCCAAUUCUUGAUUAGCAACCACAUCUCUUGGAUCGACAACGGUGGCUAAGCCCUCAGCUACCACCUCCCCCUCGGGGUUGUUUAGAAACACCUUUGCCUGAAUCCAUGUAGCACGGUUCUUAAGAUCCACGGAGGGAACAUGCGUCGCACUUGCGCUGUCCCCAACAUCUGCUUUCUUCUGCAGAUUUUUCAAGGCAACAACAACAUUUACCCCGACGACCAUCUCUCCUCGUUCAAUAGCGACCACAUUCCCAUCGAAGACAGUCUCUACUGAUACAGCAGCAUUGCCUUCCCCAAGCCUUUGACAGUGUAUAACAAAGUUCCGAUCCAUAGACACAAGGGUCCCUUUUGCAACUCUCUUCCCACCAUUCAAAAUGUAAACCUUUUCCCCAACCCUAAAGGCCAUUCUGAAAGUGCAGAAAAGAAGUUAAGAUCAUACAAAAAAUGAUUGGAGAAUGGCCUAAAUCAUAACAUACCAAAUAACAUGAGGCCACAUGCCAUUAUUCAAACAUGCUAUUGACACCCACGUGAAAUUUUGCAUUCACAAAAUUGGCAUGAGCCCUCAUGCCAUUAGUGGUACCACUAAUGGCAUGAGGCCUCACGCUAUCUUUGGCCCCUGCUAGCCAUGAAAUUGCAAGGGCCCAAGAUGGCAUGUGGCCUCAUGCCAUUUCUAAAUGUGGUCCUAAACCAUUCCAUGGUGAACAUACCAGGAAGCACAAGUGCCGAAUAUCAAGAGGAAGCGGUAGCCACACCAAAGACAGUGCCGCUCGCAACACCGCAACUACUCGUAGUGCCGCUCGCAACACCGCAACUGCUCGUAGCGCCGCUCGCACAAACUGCCACUCACAUAAACUGCCGCUCGCAAUGGCGCUCGCAAUGCCGCAACCGCUUGUAGACGCAUAAACCACAGCUCACAACGCCGCUUACACAAGCAGCGCUCACUGCGCUCAGCGGAACCAAGAACACGGCGCACAAAAAUGAUAGACCUAGGAAUGAGUUCGAGAAUUCAAAAAUAACACACGCUUGAACGUCACAUCAAAUCCUCUGACAAACCAGAUCUUAUGAUUCCUCUGACAAAUUUCAAACUGAGUAGCUUCUAGACUUUGCUGUCGGAGGUUGAACUUUGUCACAUCAUGUCCUUGCCUCGAUCCAGCUGUGCCAUGUCAGUGAUUCGAACUUUGCCAUGCCAUGUCAGCGAUCCGCGCCAAGAUUAUUCGCCGUGUAAAGGAAUAAUUAUGUUGUGUGUGUACGUCCAUUUAUGGCAAUAUAAGGCCACACGCCAUUCAAAGAAUAAUGCUAGUCGAGCAUUUUUUGGUGCAUUUUUGGGUUCAAAAUUGCAUGAGCCCACACACUAUAAAGUUUACCUGUACCAAAAAUAGAAACAGCUUUAUUUACUUGGGAAUUUAAGUGGUUGAGGCAUUUUUAAACUUACAAACACAUGCCCUACUUACAUUCAUUUGGUUGCUUAAAAUUCAAAAAUAUUAUAAACCUUUCUUUUUGCAUUUUCAAUGUUUUCAAUUAUGGUUUUUGAUUUUCGCAGGACCAGCCUAGUAAUCUAUUUGCAUCCCGUCAUGUUUAUAGCUAGCUUUCGUUUGUCCCCUUCGCUGGCCUGAGAUACAUCUGCUCAGAAUCUGCCUCUUACAGCAUUUGCCCAGAAAGGGCAUCUUUCUUCACGCAGCAUUUGCCACAUAUUUAGGGUUAGGGUUUAGGGUUUAGGGUUUAGCAAUUCAAUAGCUUGAUAAACAUGCAAAUACAGAACUUGAUGCAAAAUCCUUUGAUAUGUCACAAUGCCCCUAGGACCAUAAACACAUUUCAAUAGAGAGGGUCCUUUCAUUUCAUAACUCCUUACGUAGAUCUUGGUGAAACCAGAGUUAGUGAAGUUGGUUUCUUGUGAUCUUGCAUCUGAUUGUGAUGUCCCUUUGCAGUGUCGAUGGAAAGGUCAAUGCACACCAAACUGUAGAAUCUUGGAGCAAAAUAACGGUCGGAUCUAUGGCAAAUGCCCCUGAAACAUUGUAAGGCUCGUGUGGUCUCAUGUGGUGUCCGAUCGAGAUGCUUCUUUGCAGGGUCAUCAAGAAGGACAUUGUAUACCAUUCUGUAAAAUCUAGUUGCGAUCUAACGGUUGGAUCUCCAGGAAACUCAAAACAAUCUCGCGCGUGUCAGAAUAUUCUAGGAAUAUACUCUUAUGUGCUCCUGAAAAUGGCAUGCGGCCCCACGCCAUUCAAGAGAUAAUGCUAGAUGACGCCGAGCAUUUUUUGGUGCAUUUUUUGGGAUCAAAAUUGCAUGAGCCCACACGCUUGAACGUCACAUCAAAUCCUCUGACAAUUUAUUUAGCUGAACAUCUGGCAUUUUUGGAAAUACAAGAUGCUUUGGAAUAUCCAAUCAUGCAUGGUAUAAAUAUAGUGAGGGUAUUAAAUGAUAUCCCAAUCAUGAUCUUUCUUUUGGAUUUCACGUGCAUGCAGUCCGAGGAAUGAUGACGUUGCGGAUUUCUUUUGGAUUUCACGCAUGCGCGCGCCGAUCCAGAAAUUAAUGGUGGCACCCAAGUCCGAGGAAUGAUGACGUGGCGGGAUUACCAACCGUCGUGACAUUUCGCGCGUGUAAGGUUAGGUUUUGCAUUUUGCUUCGUACUCGCGCUCGCAUCGCGCUCCCACUCGCGCUCCCACUUCUCUAUAGGUUUCUCGUGUGCAUUGGCGUCCACUCACGCUUGCAUCACACUCGCGCUCGCAUCGCGCUCGUGUGCAUCGGCGUCCACUUCAAGACACACCUAGUUUGUAACUUCGCCGCCAACUCCGCCGCCCACUCCGCCACCCACACGCAGCCCACUUGGCGUCCCGGGAGAUUUCAGUGCCACUCUCCAACUGUAAGUGGCAGAGUAGCCUUGCUGCUACGAUCCGCUACACACACAAUGCACAUUCGCCAGCGAGUCCGGUUGUCACGCCUCCAUUCAGCUUCAAAUGGUAAGUCUUUUAGGCCAAGUAGAAAAUGGCAUGAGGCCACAUGCCAUUCAGUAGCAACAUUGGUAUGCACCGAUUGGGCUUUCGAGUGCAGUCCGGUUACAGAUGGCGUGUAGCCUCACGCCAUCUUAGGAUGCAGCCUCAAGACAUCUGAUGCAGUGGUGAAUGGCGUGUGGCCUCACGUUAUUUCCAGCUACUAGCUUUUCAUCUGUCAGCUCUAAUUGUUGUGCAUUUCUAAAUAGGCGAGGAAUUGCGUUCUUCUUCCAGCCACUGUCAAUGUGGAUGCAGAGAAGGGGGAGGAGCUCACCAGUUGGACUUUCGGGAUGGAAGGCGAGGAUCUGAGCCUGUACAACACAGAUGGUGGGAGAAAAGAAUGCAUGGGGAUCCUCAUCCAAGUGACAGACACUCCAUGCAGUUCCAUGCAAGAAUAUGGACUGGCACUUGUGGUAGAGACAGCGUCUGCCUUCAAGAUCCACCUUGCACAUCCUAGCGGUGGUCAAGCUCAAGCCGACGUCUGACUCUCCUGCUCCAAAAAAGAAGCUACUCAGUGAUGCCAUUGCCUCGGGUUCGAACACUACACCCACCAAAAAGAAGAGCCGCAAAGAGCAGAAAUCACAAGAAGAGGCAGCAAAAAUCGUCGCAGAUAAUAGUACUUGUUACUAUUCCAACAAAGUAUAUACAAUCGACGUGAGCCGUAUCGACAUCCAAAGCAAAUACAACCACAGGCUAGUAUCUGAUGAGUGGGUGGAGAAACUGAAGCAGAAGAUGCUGGCAAGUCCAGUAACACCCGACAUCGCAGACGUGAUCCCCUACUACCGAACAAUGAAGGGCGAGACGAGGUUUCCAGACUUGAUCAAUAGGAAGGUGUUGGACGAUCAGAACAUCCGGUUCUAUGCCGUCUCCGGGCAGCAUUCUAGCUUGGCGAUGCAAGAGAUAGUUGUGGAUAUUAUGGUGGGCGAGGAGGUGAAGAAAGUCUUCAAGACAAGAGUUGUCCGCCUGAUAAAAGGCAACUCGCCCCUCCGAUCUAUUAUAUACAUCUCCCACGCGCAGAAUGUCAAGCAAGAAACAUACUACAAAUCGGGUCUGCACGAGACAUUGGCACGAACACGGAAGCUCUGGGUUCAACUGAAGAAGCCACAAAAACCAGGACAAGGACGUGCACUAGCAACUAGCGCCUGGCAGGUAAGCCUCGUUGCAUGUGGCAUAGCAUGUGGUCUCACGCCAUUUCCAUUGCAGGAAUUCUCGAGUCUUCUCUCGAAAACACUGGGGGUCAAUGACACACUCAGCAUCCAUAACAUUCUACUCGCGACAAAAGUUGUUUUUGACAAAUGGGUAGAUGUGCUGAGGAGGUACCAUGACGGGGAGUUGCCAAACUCAAUGGGUGUGGAGGACGGCCGGAAGCCCAAUGAUUUGAAGCUCAACGCCUUGCGUUUCUCGCGGUCUCUAGACGACGACGACCUUCUGACAGUGGCUAAUGCUCUUCUACGUGGUGAGGUAGUCUUCAACAAGACCAAAAUGACUCCCGGCCAUAUUGUGACAUACGAGGACUUGUGCACGACUCUGAGAGCUCGUGCGCUAUUGAAGGAUUGGAUCUUCGAGCAAGUGGCCGUGGAGAGGGUGAGCAUCGACACCACGCAAGAGAUGAUGGAAGCACUGGAGUUGUCAAAUGAAGACAUCGACGAGUACGUGAAGGGGGCCCCCAAGUUCAUCGAUCUGCUGCGGGAUGCCACGAAAAGUAAAGCUGAGAAGUUGGAUCAGUAUCCAAAUUUCAUUAAGAUUCAAUGGAGCAUAUAAUUACAGUUGCCAAAGAAAAACAGUAUCUUCUCUGCGAACCUGGUGAGUACACACUUUAAGUUUAAAUGUUAUCUCACAAGCUCUAUAUGCAGGAGCGUGGCCACCCCCAGAUGCUGAAACGGCGUUAACAGCUACUGUUGAAGAUACCCAUGUUGGGCCGAGCUCACAACCUGCACAAGGUAAGGUCACGUGAGGCCUCACGCCAUUUUGAUUAUGGAUCGUUGUGAAUAUUCAGACACGAGGACUGAAAAGCGCACUGGUGGCGCAUCGAAGAAGGACAAACAGACAAGCAAUAGGAAAAAAGGAGGUACAAAUUAUAUUUGCAAUGGCGUGUGGUCUCAUGCCAUUCCUUGCAGGAGAAACUUCUUCAAAGGCAAAACAGGCAAGCACCAGCCAAGCUCAAACUGACAGUGGUCAUAAAAAGCGAAAGCACGUUGGACAGUCGUCGAGAUCAGAGGCGUUUGAUUCGAAAAGGAAGAAGGGCAACGAAAAGAUGAUAGGUAAUGCCUCGCGGUUAUGGCGUGUGUGCUCAUGCCAUUCAUUGCAGAUCAAGGGCUGAGUGAAAGCAGGCAGUCACCACCUCAUGACUCAGAUUCCUAUGGCGGACUCCCCUUCCCCAAUCUCAAUGGAAAGGUACAAUGGAUGAGGGAAGCUUUUCAAGUCAGGGCCACGUUUUUCUCAUCUCCUCGUCUUCGAAGGGUGCAAGAACGUGCAGAAACCAUGUUAAGACAGUCGGGUGAGGAUACGGUCCUAGGUCACGCACUAAAACAGGCUAUGGAUGUCUUGUAUUUUGAGAUGGAGACUCGGCCAGAUGAUUUUCCCAAGAUGGUCCUGGAAGAACAAGCCAUCCAGCCUGAGCAGCCUAUGGAAGAAAUGCAGGAGGGGGAUGAGGAGCCAGAGAAAGAUAAUGAGCAGGAAGAGCAGAAGGACGAAGAGGAGGACAAAGAAGAGGAGGACGAAGAAGAGGAG
rnacentral:lncRNA from 1 species